rnacentral:rRNA from 1 species
AACGAACGCUGGCGGCAUGCCUAACACAUGCAAGUCGAACGAAGCCUUCGGGCUUAGUGGCGCACGGGUGCGUAACGCGUGGGAAUCUGCCCUUUGGUUCGGAAUAACAGUUGGAAACGACUGCUAAUACCGGAUGAUGACGAAAGUCCAAAGAUUUAUCGCCAGAGGAUGAGCCCGCGUAGGAUUAGCUAGUUGGUGUGGUAAAGGCGCACCAAGGCGACGAUCCUUAGCUGGUCUGAGAGGAUGAUCAGCCACACUGGGACUGAGACACGGCCCAGACUCCUACGUGAGUCAGCAGUGGGGAAUAUUGGACAAUGGGCGAAAGCCUGAUCCAGCAAUGCCGCGUGAGUGAUGAAGGCCCUAGGGUUGUAAAGCUCUUUUACCCGGGAUGAUAAUGACAGUACCGGGAGAAUAAGCCCCGGCUAACUCCGUGCCAGCCGCCGAAGUAA